GACGAACGCUGGCGGCAUGCCUAAUACAUGCAAGUCGAGCGAACAGAUGAAGUGCUUGCACUUCUGACGUUAGCGGCGAACGGGUGAGUAACACGUAAGGAAUCUACCUAUAAGCGGGGGAUAACAUUCGGAAACGGGUGCUAAUACCGCAUAAUAUCUUCUUCCGCAUGGAAGAAGAUUGAAAGACGGCUCUGCUGUCACUUAUAGAUGACCUUGCGGUGCAUUAGUUAGUUGGUAGGGUAACGGACUACCAAGACGAUGAUGCAUAGCCGACCUGAGAGGGUGAUCGGCCACAUUUGGACUGAGACACGGCCCAAACUCCUACGGGAGGCAGCAGUAGGGAAUCUUCCGCAAUGGGCGAAAGCCUGACGGAGCAAUGCCGCGUGAGUGAAGAAGGCCUUCGGGUCGUAAAACUCUGUUAUAAGAGAAGAACAAAUUGUAGAGUAACUGCUACAGUCUUGACGGUAUCUUAUCAGAAAGCCACGGCUAACUACGUGCCAGCCGCCGCGGUAA
rnacentral:rRNA from 1 species